rnacentral:rRNA from 1 species
ACUCCUACGGGAGGCAGCAGUGGGGAAUAUUGCACAAUGGGGGAAACCCUGAUGCAGCCAUGCCGCGUGUGUGAAGAAGGCCUUGGGUUGUAAAGCACUUUCAGUAGGGAGGAAGGUAGUGUAGUUAACACCUGCAUUAUUUGACGUUACCUACAGAAGAAGCACCGGCUAACUCCGUGCCAGCAGCCGCGGUAAGUACGGAGGGUGCGAGCGUUAAUCGGAAUUACUGGGACGUAAAGCGCAUGCAGGCGGCCUGUUAAGUCAGAUGUGAAAGCCCGGGGCUUAACCUCGGAAUUGCAUUUGAAACUGGCAGGCUAGAGUCUUGUAGAGGGGUAGAAUUUCAGGUGUAGCGGUGAAAUGCGUAGAGAAUCUGAAGGAAUACCAGUGGCGAAGGCGGCCCCCUGGACAAAGACUGACGCUCAGAUGCG